CCUACACACGCUGUCACAGAACAAAACAAGGACUAUGAAUGCGACUGACUCUAACGUCUAUGUGUAUAAUGAAUUCCGUCAAUGAAAAAGAGGGCCAUACCCCAGUCUUUGCCUGUGGGAAUGUGGUGUACCACAGGAGGUCAGAUGGCAUUCCAUGAUGGAAUAACAUUUCUUACCAAAUUCAGCAGGUCAAAAGUGCUCUUUACCAUCCACAGACAGUAUUUGGCAGACUAGGAACAAGACAUUCCACUACAUGUAAUAGCGGUUUGGUUGUGCAUGAACAGCAAAUGCAUCCGGUGCUGGUUUGUUAACAUGCAGGGGCUGCCACUGUCUUCCUUUAGGAUAACAAAGAUGUCAGUUUCAAGCAAAAUAAUCCAGGAAGAACCCCAGGUCUUACUGUUCAAGACGAAAUGAGGUUGUGACCAUCAGGCUCAAAGCUGUGGAGAAAGAUGUCUGGCCGGGAGUCAUACUGAUGUUAUGCUUUACUGAUGUUGUUGCCAACACUUACAAACCAUUCACUACAACUACCACAACGAACAAUGUACUGAUAAGGCAGAAAAUUUGAGCUACCUUUGUGAAAGAGGCCAAGAGAGGAUUGGAUGGUGGAGUUUCAGAUGACACAAUGCUGACUGUUUCAACCCAGCUGAUUUUGCUUCCUACAGGCAACAGAAGGAAGUCUUCACUUUUAUUUUAAACAAUUCAGUUUUAAUGCCACCAAUAUGUCAAGAUAAAAUGUAACUGAACAGAUUGAAAUUAUACCAACUUCCUUCAUUAACACAAACUAUCUGUGUACCUGGACCAUCAGCUUGAACAGUAUACUACUUCAACUACCAUUUCCUCAUAUUCAAACAUUACUAGAAAGGUCUGAAAGGCAAUCAUACUAAAUGAAGAAUGAUAAACUCCUGUGUUAUAAAUUCUGCUGCAACUUGAGAUGACCAGUAUGUACAGACAGUGCCAAAUUUAUUGCAUUUAUAACUUGUGUCUUAUCUGACAGUGCUCUUUGCAUAGAUAUUGUACUUGAAGUUAACUAUGAUUUUAUUAAGAUCUUAGAUGCGAUUUUUCACUCUGUAUUGAUGUUCACAUACUUCAAUUUCUGUUGCCAUACCAGUGUCACUAACAGAUAAUCUAGAUGAAUUUGUUUUUAUUUAUUUCUACCACUGUUGUCUGUGAACAUUUUCAUAUCAUAUAGUUAGUACACUUCAUUAUAUACAGGGCAGUCAAUGUCUUAUUUC